AGUUCGGAUAAGAGGCUGAGACUCGCCUCUUUGAAGUCGGAAUCGCUAGUAAUCGCAGAUCAGCAUGUUGCGGUGAAUACGUUUCCUGGUCUUGCACACACCGCCCGUCAAACCAUGAGAGUCGCCAACACCCGAAGUCCGCUUUGCGGCCUAAGGUGGGGAGAUGAUUGGGGUUAAGUCGUAACAAGGUAAC
rnacentral:rRNA from 1 species